rnacentral:rRNA from 1 species
GCGAACGCUGGCGGCAGGCCUAACACAUGCAAGUCGAACGAACCUUUCGGGGUUAGUGGCGGACGGGUGAGUAACACGUGGGAACGUGCCUUUAGGUUCGGAAUAACUCAGGGAAACUUGUGCUAAUACCGAAUGUGCCCUUCGGGGGAAAGAUUAAUCGCCUUUAGAGCGGCCCGCGUCUGAUUAGCUAGUUGGUUGAGGUAAUGGCUCACCAAGGCGACGAUCAGUAGCUGGUCUGAGAGGAUGAUCAGCCACAUUGGGACUGAGACACGGCCCAAACUCCUACGGGAGGCAGCAGUGGGGAAUCUUGCGCAAUGGGCGAAAGCCUGACGCAGCCAUGCCGCGUGAAUGAUGAAGGUCUUAGGAUUGUAAAAUUCUUUCACCGGGGACGAUAAUGACGGUACCCGGAGAAGAAGCCCCGGCUAACUUCGUA